UAUGGAGAGUUUGAUCCUGGCUCAGAGUGAACGCUGGCGGCGUGCCUAAUACAUGCAAGUCGAACGAUGAAGCUUCUAGCUUGCUAGAGUGCUGAUUAGUGGCGCACGGGUGAGUAACGCAUAGGUCAUGUGCCUCUUAGUUUGGGAUAGCCAUUGGAAACGAUGAUUAAUACCAGAUACUCCCUACGGGGGAAAGAUUUAUCGCUAAGAGAUCAGCCUAUGUCCUAUCAGCUUGUUGGUAAGGUAAUGGCUUACCAAGGCUAUGACGGGUAUCCGGCCUGAGAGGGUGAACGGACACACUGGAACUGAGACACGGUCCAGACUCCUACGGGAGGCAGCAGUAGGGAAUAUUGCUCAAUGGGGGAAACCCUGAAGCAGCAACGCCGCGUGGAGGAUGAAGGUUUUAGGAUUGUAAACUCCUUUUGUUAGAGAAGAUAAUGACGGUAUCUAACGAAUAAGCACCGGCUAACUCCGUGCCAGCAGCCGCGGUAAUACGGAGGGUGCAAGCGUUACUCGGAAUCACUGGGCGUAAAGAGCGCGUAGGCGGGAUAGUCAGUCAGGUGUGAAAUCCUAUGGCUUAACCAUAGAACUGCAUUUGAAACUACUAUUCUAGAGUGUGGGAGAGGUAGGUGGAAUUCUUGGUGUAGGGGUAAAAUCCGUAGAGAUCAAGAGGAAUACUCAUUGCGAAGGCGACCUGCUGGAACAUUACUGACGCUGAUUGCGCGAAAGCGUGGGGAGCAAACAGGAUUAGAUACCCUGGUAGUCCACGCCCUAAACGAUGGAUGCUAGUUGUUGGAGGGCUUAGUCUCUCCAGUAAUGCAGCUAACGCAUUAAGCAUCCCGCCUGGGGAGUACGGUCGCAAGAUUAAAACUCAAAGGAAUAGACGGGGACCCGCACAAGCGGUGGAGCAUGUGGUUUAAUUCGAAGAUACACGAAGAACCUUACCUAGGCUUGACAUUGAGAGAAUCCGCUAGAAAUAGUGGAGUGUCUAGCUUGCUAGACCUUGAAAAACAGGUGCUGCACGGCUGUCGUCAGCUCGUGUCGUGAGAUGUUGGGUUAAGUCCCGCAACGAGCGCAACCCCCUUUCUUAGUUGCUAACAGGUUAUGCUGAGAACUCUAAGGAUACUGCCUCCGUAAGGAGGAGGAAGGUGGGGACGACGUCAAGUCAUCAUGGCCCUUACGCCUAGGGCUACACACGUGCUACAAUGGGGUGCACAAAGAGAAGCAAUACUGUGAAGUGGAGCCAAUCUUCAAAACACCUCUCAGUUCGGAUUGUAGGCUGCAACUCGCCUGCAUGAAGCUGGAAUCGCUAGUAAUCGCAAAUCAGCCAUGUUGCGGUGAAUACGUUCCCGGGUCUUGUACUCACCGCCCGUCACACCAUGGGAGUUGUGUUUGCCUUAAGUCAGGAUGCUAAAUUGGCUACUGCCCACGGCACACACAGCGACUGGGGUGAAGUCGUAACAAGGUAACCGUAGGUGAACCUGCGGUUGGAUCACCUCCUUU
rnacentral:rRNA from 1 species